UUAGGUGGGCACUCUAAGGAGACUGCCGGUGACAAACCGGAGGAAGGUGGGGAUGACGUCAAGUCAUCAUGGCCCUUACGGCCUGGGCUACACACGUGCUACAAUGGUCGGUACAAAGGGUUGCCAAGCCGCGAGGUGGAGCUAAUCCCAUAAAACCGAUCGUAGUCCGGAUCGCAGUCUGCAACUCGACUGCGUGAAGUCGGAAUCGCUAGUAAUCGUGAAUCAGAAUGUCACGGUGAAUACGUUCCCGGGCCUU
rnacentral:rRNA from 1 species